rnacentral:lncRNA from 1 species
CAAAAGGAAUGUUUAACUCUGUGAGUUGCAUGCAAUCAUCACAGAGAAGUUUCUGAGAAUGCUUCUGUCUAGAUUUUAUGUGAAGAUAUGGCCGUUUCGAACGAAGGCCACAAAGCGCUCCCAAUAUCCACUUGCAGGUCCUCCAAAAAGAGUGUUUCAAACGUGAACUACCAAAGGAAGGCUCAACUCUGGACUUUGAAUGCCAACGUCAGAAGGAUGUUUCUGCGAAAGCUUCUGUUUAGUUAGGUGACGUUAUCCCGUCUCCAACGAAAUCCUCAGAGAGGUCCAAAUAUCCACCUGCAGAGUCUACAAAAAGUGUGUUUCAAAACUGCUCCACCCAAAG